GUCUGAUAAUACUGGUGCAGUUUGAUAAUAAUAUUAACAUAAUUCUAUUAUUAAAAAUAAAUACAAAAUUAUUAAAAAAUUAUAACAGUAAAUACAAAAUAAUAAAAAAAAUUAUAACAGUAAAUACAAAAUAAUUAAAAAAUUAUAACAGUAAAUAAAUAAUAAUUAAAAAAAUAUAUAACAAUAGCCUCACGUGUAAAUCUGUACUUCUGUUCACAGAUGCAGAAAAAAAAAACUGGUAGAAGAAGAAAACUGUAGUUUUUCUGGUCUUAAAUGACAGUCCGGGUUUCCUCUGUGAGCAGCUGGAUGGAGAGGAAGAGGAGGGUGGAGGAAGAGGAGGGUGGAGGACCGUACAGUAUGAAGAUAAAGUUCUUCUCUAAACGCCUCCAGGAGGAAUUAACUCACAUAUAGACGACAAAAAAAAAACAUGUUUUUAUUCCAUAAAAUCAGUUCAGGAGUUUAAUUUUUGUGACUAAAUUUAACAUUUUCUUGUUAAACCUCAGAGACAUCCACCCUAACCUCCUCAGAGACAUCCACCCUAACCUCCUCAGAGACAUCCACCCGAACCUCCACAGAGACAUCCACCCGAACGUCCACAGAGACAUCCACCCUAACCUCCACAGAGACAUCCACCCGAACCUCCACAGAGACAUCCACCCUAACCUCCAUCGAUCUGUUUAUAACCUCAUAUUUACAUUAAAAAAUGACCUUUUAUUGACAUCAGAUUUGCUUCUGUAACAGCUGUUCAUAUUCUAAUUUUAUCUGCAUCAAAUCCUGAAACUGUUUUGCUGUUAAAGUCGGAGAAUCUCAGUUAAAUAUUCAUGUAUAAACUCACUUUAUUAUUUUCUUUAUAAAGACUCUAAAUAUAAAAACUCGGUCUGUCUUGUAUUUUAAAAAAUCACAUUUCCUCUCCUUUAAUUCCCUUUAGCGGUCACUCUAAUGAACUCUCACCCGUUAGUGGUGUUCAGUUAAAUGUUAUAUAAUCUAAUUAAUGAAAUUAUUCACAGGAGCAGCUUCAUUAAUGUGUAAAUAUACAUGUAUUAAUAUCUUGGUUUGCAGACACACUUCUCUAGGCUGUAAACGUCGUGUUACUGCUCUCCUGGUUAAACUGGAUUUAGUCGCGUUGUUCUGAACAGUUUAAUGAGAAUAAAGUUCAAUCUGAUCUCAUUUAAAUCUACACUGACAAACACAGAUGAAGAAGAUUUUAGUUUCACCUCACUGUCCCUGAAAUAUAUUUAAGGAGAAGAUUUUAUUUCCUGUGACGUUAAAUAAUCAUAAAUAAUAUAAAGACAGGAGAGUUUUGGCUUCAAUCUCAUGAUAUUCUCCUUUUCCUCCAUUUUACUGAGUUUCAGAAAUAAUCCUGGUUUAGUCUCUGCAGCAGCAGCAGCAGGUCAGUCCGCUCACACACACACUCACACACACUCUCCUGGAUUAAAACAGCAUUAGGGAAUCAGGUGUGUGUGUGUGUGUGUGUGUGUGAGAGUGUGUGCAGCUCUGAGUCUCAGUCACUUCCUCUCCAGUAUUUAAAUCUACAUUUGUCUCUAAUCUGCUCCAGCGUCUGAGAGACUCUGAGGAGUGAAAUCGUCUCUCCUCUCGUGUUUUUGAGUUUCAGAGAAACAGGAGAGUAAAUAUCAGGUCAGAGGAAAAUUAAAAAAAAGGUUAAAUGUAGAAAAAUCACCUCUGAGGUUGAUUUUCACUCAGCAAACAGAGAACCACCGCUCUGCUCUGCAGCUUCUCUGCAGCUUCUCUGACCUUACAGCGCCUCCCUGUGGCCGUCUGAGCCAUCAACCCAACACUGCUGUCACUCCUCACUUUUAAUGAGUUUGACAUUUCAAAUCAUUUCAAAUAAAGUUUUUUUUGUCUCCUUAUUUAUAUUUCUGUGAUUUAACCCUAGAAGACGAUCGCAGGGUGAUUUUCAGAGAAACAAAAAUACGACAAAAACUGACGACAGAGACACAAAAACAACAAAAAAAAAAACAACUACAGAGAAACACAAAAACAAAAACUAAUGAUGGAGCGACAAAAACGACAAAAAAUACGACAAA